GUGUUUCAGCACCGACUAUGUGGUCACCGGGUAUCAUGCCUGAGAGCUAGGUAAGUUUUUGGAUCAAAUCUUUCUUUCCAGCCUUUUCCCCUGCUUAAACUAAUUUCAGCAGAGAGAUCAUUUGUUUCUGGUCUAUUUUACUAUCUCUGAACAAUUUUUUAAUGUGGGCUGGGUUAUCAGAGAAUUGUAGAGACAGCUGGUAAACAAAAUGAUGGGAUCUUAGAGUCAAUUUUCCUCUGUUAUUAGUGUGAAGGCUUUUACUCCCCAGCAAUUUAUCAUCACUUCAGAGGAAAAGAGCAGCAAAUAGUGUUAUGUUUUAUUUGUUAAGGGAGCUCUAGUCAUUUGACAAACAAGUUUUACUAGAGAGAUAUUUUCGGGGAGACGAAAAAUAUUUCUUUUUAAAGAUUGACACUGAAUUUUACUGAUAUCAUUAAGUGACCCCCACUGAACUGUAAGCAGUGGAAUAAGUUUCAAUGUUUUUUAUAAAUAGAGAAUAUGUAAUUCCUGCCCUCACAGAUUUUAAACCUAAAAAAAAGAGAGAGUAAGACAGCACACUAAUAUUUUUUCCAAUUUUUAUUUAAGUUAAAAACAAUUUUAAAAGGGAAAAAACAACUAAAUAUGUAGUGACCCUCUGUGGCCUGACAGUUAUAUGAAGUUAAAUGAAGAAAAAUUAGAUAUCAGUAAAUAAGUCAGUUUCAGUACCUGGCUGUACAGAUGUUUUCCUAAACAACUUUUUAAAAUGUAGAGCAUUUAAAAAUUUUGGAUUAGGUAACCAGCAAAAGCAACGGAAAUAUAGCACUUUACUUUUUCUCUAUGGUAUCCUCUGCAGAUGUGGAGGUUUUAAAAAACUGUUAUUGAUAUCAGUCAAGCUGUGGAUUUCUAGCAACAUGAAGUACAGAAAACAAUUAUCCAGAUAAUUCAAGAUUUAUGGGGGAAAAUACCCUCAAAAUUGUUACUGGGGAAAAGAGAAUGAGUGGGGAGAAGGGAGGAGGUUAAUUAUGCAUUACCAGCUACACUGAUUGAACUACCCAGAUGGUUACCAUCUUUCACCUUAACUCUGACUGUAUAGACACAGAUUCUGAGAAAGCCAUCUUAAAUAAGCGUGUGGAAGAAUUAUCCUCGGCAAUGCGGAAUGACAGAAAAUGUCUUGUAGAGUUUCUAAUAAGAAAAAUAUUUUUUCUUGUCUUGUAGAACUUGAUGUCUGAUAGGUCCUAAUGCAUGUAUUCUUUUAUCAAAAACUUCACAACUCUCUAACUUGCAAGCUCCUUUUCUCUACCCUCAGCUGAGUUUACCAAUUACACUUCACUUUCUCCUACAUCUUCUUUCAUUUUACCCUCCAAUGAACUGGGCCGUCUCCCUACCAUACUAUCUAAGUAAUAAACACGUACUUCACCCCUUACAUGAAAUUAUCGUCCUUUCUUUGUUCCACAGUUAAUUCAUUUUUCUCUCAAAUUAAUAACUGCAAUGCCAAAUAGCUUAUAUUUUUUAAAUUUUAAGUUAAAAAUAUAUUAGCAUAAUAUAAACAUAACUCAUUUUCCAUUUUUACCCACAAAUUUUCAUGUCAUUGCUUUGGUGCUGUAAUUGAUACUGACAUGAGAUUUAAGAGAUAAAACUCCACAUUUCAAUAGCAUCCUAUGCUUUGCUUUCUACAUCAUAAGUUCUGAACAGGGAGGCAACAUGGUUACAAGAAGGUCCGCAAAGUACUGCUCUAGAAUUGAGUGAAUGAGUGAGCAACGCUUCAGAGUGACUGAUGAAGAGAAAAAAAAUUUCCACAAAAAGAAAAACAGUAUGGAUAAGGUGGAGUACAGUGCAAACGAUAUGAAAUUAUCUGGUUUCUGAUACAGAAUUUUUGGAUGUGGGCCCUUGGUCAAGGCUGAAAGCCUGUGCCUUUAUCACAGAGCUGCAGCCAGUGUACUCACUAGGCUUGGGUUCCGAAAAAUCACAGCAUCCAGCUAGAGAUGGAAAGGGAUCAGCAUGGAGUUAUGCACCCUCAUUAGCCUGCAGAGUGGGCCCUCGGAAAGGCCUAGGAGGAAUCUGCUUGGGGUUCUGCUUGACCUAGGAAACCUCUUUGAUUCUCACUCUGAGAUGCAACUGUGCCGCACAAGACAGGAUUUUUUAAAACAAUGUUUUAAAGGGAACAUAUUGCUUAAGAAAAGUCCUUAGGGCAUGAUCUGAGCACUGACAUGGACAAAUAACGCACCCUUCUGAUAAAUCCUGAUGACAGAGUGGGCCUCGGAAAAGACAAUUCAAGGUAGAGCUCCAAUUCCAGCAUUUCUGAAACCAGGAGGAUAUAUCUGAAAGAAUACCUAGAGGAUUUGUGCGUUGACAAAGUCUGGUAACGCAGAGAAUAAGUUACUGGUUGGUGAAAAUCUAUUAUAGUACUCUACUGUAUACCACAAAAGAGGUGUUCAGUAAAAGUCAUUCCGUUUUAAGGACAAUCUCUUUUUAAAUAUUUCACUUUCCAUUUCAUCAAAAAAAGUAUAUUUUCAUCAAUAGCAUCUUUUAUAAACAGAAAUGGUCUGAGCUCGUUUAGUUCUUUACCCUACCCAUUUAUAUGAUGGAGAGGAAGGCCCACUGGGGUCACUAUUAGAAAGAAAGAAUGACAGGUAUACAAAGAAAACAGAAGUUAGCUAUGCCCUCCAAGGUGAAUACUGGGAAUAGUGUACUCCCAAGAUACAUAGAAAAUGUGGAUGUGAAAGCAUAUGGGAAUAGGAAAGACAGGAAUUCAAUAGUCACACUCGAUUAUAACUCCACAGUGAAGGUUCUUGGGGCAACUGCCAUGUGCCAAGCAUGAGAUAAGAUGCAGACGACACAAGAAGAAAAAGGCACCAUUUCUAUACUCAAAGAGCUUUCAGUUCUCCUUAAAUCAAGUCUUGAAGAAUAGGCUAGAUAUUGGUCAAGUGUAGGAAGAAAGUAUGGUUAAAGGAAGAAUGACCAUACAUCCACUUUGCCAAAGAUGGUCCCAGUUUAUGCCUCUUGUCCUGGUAUAACAAUCAAUACCACUUGGCGUCAUUUUCAAAAGUGUCCUGGCUUGGCCUUUACAAAUAGGGAACGAUUGAAAGGUUUAAAAAUGAGUUUAAAAAAAUGAGUUAAAGGAGGAAGACUGUUAAUUCAGGCAAGAAAAUUAGGAGGCCCUGACCCAAGGCAUGGAUCAUGGUGACAGAGAAGAGCACACAGCACUCAUUUCCCCUUUUCUUUUGGAAGCAGCACCCCCACCUCCUUUGGCAGAAUUUCCCCUCUCCUUUUAGAAGGUGUCCCUGUGAAUCAGAAGGCUGAGGGCUCCCUGCUUUCUCCAAGCCAAGCAGUCACAUUGGACAUGUGAGCAAUGGGACACUCUCUCCUGGAAUUUUGUCCCUUGAGCGGAAUGAUGAGAAAAGUGGGAGGGAAACUUGGCGAUGAUUCAGUCUAGCAGUGGGGACUGACAAUCCCAACAAGCAGUUUCUCCAACGGAAAAUGCCAUAACACCACGGCCCCUGUCAUCUCCAAGUCAGUUUCUUCAGUCUUCCUUUUAUUCUGUAAGUUUCCUCAUGGCCCUCCAAUAAAUAUUCCUUUAGUUUAGUUUGGUUACAGCUGCUCACAACCAGAGAACCUACACUGAUAACUGUAAUUGCCAAUAUGCAGUAUCUACAUAUGGAGGAGACAAACUAAGAACAAGUGAGGUGACAUGCUAACCAACACUGUCUUUUUCACUCUGUAUCUUAUCCAUUAUUUUUGUAAGUGAAGUUCACACCAUCAUCUCCAUCACUUUAAUAUAGUUUUUAAAAUGCUGUUUCUGCUGCAUUACUUAUUUUCCAAUCAUCACAUAUGACUAUAUACAUAGAAAUGGGGUUUGCUUUGUGAAAAGAUAAUUGUUGGUAUAGAACUUGGAGGUCCUGCUUCUGCCCCUGAAAGUUCAAUAGCCUAGGAUUUCUGUUUUCUUGCUUCUUACGAUGGCCCCAGUGCUACCCAGGGGCUGCAAAAACCAAAGGCUAAGAUUUCAUUUAAACCCCAAACCAAAAACAUCCUUCACAGAUAGAUCUUUUCCUGGAGGUUAUUUGUCAUUGAAAUGAAUGUCCCUGGGUGAUCAGAAGUAAGUUUUUAUUGUGGUAUUAUUCUCCUUUAAACCCUUCAAGGCAUGGAGCUAUGCCUCUGCAGUUGUAACACGGGAGAGGGUGCUGGGCGGUCAUUUAACACGGGCAGCUCAGGUAGGGGGAACAAAUGAAAAUUGGGGCGGGCAAGAAUACUGCGAUUGGUUGGAUUCCAAUGCAGCGUACACUCUAACGCCCUGAAAUAUGGGAUGCAGGAGUCUCCACAGAUGCUCCCUGCUGCAGUUCUUGAAAGGCAGGAACAAAUUUAAACUGGGUUUUGUGAAAACAAAUGACAUCAUUCCUGCAUACUCUGAAAAGCUGCAGCCCCAAUGGAACAUUUUCUCGUUUUCCCCUUUGCUCUUCUGUGUCUGACUGCAGGGCUUCAGGAUUUUAUGCUGCAUGUUUAACUGGCUAGAUCUUGCAGGGAAUAACCUUUCAUCACUUGCCUCUAAAAAUAAUAAAACUCACGAAGAAAAUAUAGAGGCCUGUAAAAGUUCAUUUAAAAUCACAUUUAAUCUCCAUGUGGCUCUUAUCUGAAGAUAUGACAGCACAUGGGAAGAAUUCUAGUGAUUUGAAAGAAACAAUAACAAAAUGCUGUAUUGGGGACUGUCAUCAUGGAAAUUAUGGCCCUGACUUAUUUUGGGUGGACUUUAUUGUACAGUGUUCAGUGCUGGUGAUUAGGAGAACUAGGAUUUCCAUUUAGGGAUUUUUCUGGGUUCACAUUGUUAACUGCAAAAGUAAUCAGGGAUCUGGUACAUUUAAGACAGUCAGCUAAGGGCCAUAUUGAAAUACUGU
rnacentral:lncRNA from 10 species